CCAGGUAGAAGGAGAUUCAGGAGAAAGAGACUGAUUUAGGAGAAAAAGCAUUUAGUACUUUCCUUCUAGGUGAAAAGAGCUAUAGAAGGAGAGGCAGACCUGCGGUCAGCCCGGAAACAGUGGUAGGGCUCCAAGGAGUUAGUGUUUUGGGUUAUUGCUGUGAAAGCAGAAGUGGGUAAUAGAGAACUGCAACCUCAAGUCUUAGAUGAGUGGCUGUGGCUUAAGCAGUGUUUAGCAUUCUCGGAGGUUUUUGAGAGUAAGUGCUGGGGAACCUACUACUCUAAAACUGGAUUGAAGAGGAGCCGGGAGGUGGGGGGGGGUAGAAGACAUUGCAUUGAUAGUGCCAAAACACAAUACUGGCUAUUUGUUUUGGCCAGUGAUAAGCCAGAAGGGUGAGACUAUAUGUGAUCUAUCUGGAGGGUCAAGUCACUAGAAGAACUUGAUCACCGCAAGGCCUGAAUGCCUAUCAGAAGGAAGUGACUGAAGGAGAAAGUCUUGCAAUGAACUGCUUAGUUGUGUGGGGCUCACUGACUGGCUAAUACUUACUGCAGUGGACAUGAGAAUGUUUCCAAGUGCAUCCAGGGUGCCUAAAUGCCAGAGGUUUUGUAUCUAGAGGACAACUUUCUGUAUCUUCAUAUUUAUUAAUAUUAUGGCACAGUGCUUCUGAAAUCCCUAUCCACUUCCUUGUAAACUAACUGACCUUGGAGCAAAGUACUUUAGAAACCAACUGAAGCAAGAGAAGACAUUGCUGGAUACAUGCGCUCCCUCCUGCUGUCCCGUUUGUCAGAGUAUGCCACUAAGCUUGUGGCAUUGUUUUGGGGGCGUGGUCGACAGACUUUCAGGAAGGCCAGAAACAUACCUUGUGAAUUUUACAGGAGGCAGGAAUUUGGAAGUGAAAAUAUGAGAAAAAUGGAUUUUUUUAAUCUAUCCUAGAAUUUGUGCUGGCAAGGAUUUGAUACUAAACAAACCAGUCACCAUAACUUAUGAAAAGUAGAGUUCUUUGGAUGGAAUGCCACUACAGACUUCUCUGACUUAGCACUCUUUCAAAGCACCUAUUGAGGAAAGCUGGACCAGACUGAAGUGGGGUUUGAAAGACAAAAGACCAAAUAAUGGAUGCCAAAGACAGAAGUAGUCUUAUCAAACCAGAGUUCUCCUUAAAGUCAGACCAAGCGAUGAGUUUCAAGUUUGCUGCUUUUACUUAUGAAGUUUCCAGCAUAACCUCUUCAAUAAAACACUGUUUCCUAUUUGAAAUGUUAUAAGUACAGUCGUUUCAUCUUUGACUACAAAUGAUGCAUUUAUAGAAACAUUGCCCCUUGGUAAUGAUUAUUUAAUUUCCCCUUGCAAGUGAGGAUUAAUUUGUUUGUAAAUAAAAAACCUAAUGUAUAUUUUACUACAAAUACUGAAUAGUUAUUCCAAGAAGAUUGCACAUGGUAUGAAAGCAGUUGCCAAUUUCAUUUUUGUUUCCAAGGCAAACACUCCUUGUGCUAUUGAAACUAUGGCUUUCUGAAAGGUUUGAAAGUAAACAAAGCUAAUAUAUUUUGUGCCAUGUAACAGGUCCUCUGCCCACCCCUCUUCCUGGGGCCCACUGGCAGCCCCAAUAAAGUUCAGAGAGGCUUCUAGUUCUACAGCACCUGUGGUUUUAUUUACACUCUGUUCUCCCAUCACCAGUGAUAUACUAUA